rnacentral:rRNA from 1 species
UUGUCUCAAAGAUUAAGCCAUGCAUGUCUCAGUACAAGCCAAAUUAAGGUGAAACCGCGAAAGGCUCAUUAAAUCAGUUAUGGUUCCUUAGAUCGUACCCACAUUUACUUGGAUAACUGUGGUAAUUCUAGAGCUAAUACAUGCAAACAGAGCUCCGACCGGAGACGGAAGGAGCGCUUUUAUUAGAUCAAAACCAAUCGGCGGCGGGUGUUAACGCGCCCGUCGUCGUACAACAUGGUGAAUCUGAAUAACUUUUGCUGAUCGCAUGGUCUCGCACCGGCGACGCAUCUUUCAAAUGUCUGCCUUAUCAACUGUCGAUGGUAGGUUCUGUGCCUACCAUGGUCGUAACGGGUAACGGGGAAUCAGGGUUCGAUUCCGGAGAGGGAGCCUGAGAAACGGCUACCACAUCCAAGGAAGGCAGCAGGCGCGCAAAUUACCCACUCCCGGCACGGGGAGGUAGUGACGAAAAAUAACGAUACGGGACUCAUCCGAGGCCCCGUAAUCGGAAUGAGUACACUCUAAAUCCUUUAACGAGGAUCAAUUGGAGGGCAAGUCUGGUGCCAGCAGCCGCGGUAAUUCCAGCUCCAAUAGCGUAUAUUAAAGUUGUUGCGGUUAAAAAGCUCGUAGUCGAAUUUGUGUCCCGCGCCGCCGGUUCAUCGUUCGCGGUGUUUAACUGGCGUGUUCGCGGGACGUCCUGCCGGUGGGCGCGGCCGAGGGUGUUGCGUUCGCACGUGUGCACAUCGUGUCGCGUGUGUGGCGUUCGCUCGAGGCGGCCCAACUUUAAAUCCCGCCGCGGUGCUCUUUACUGAGUGUCGAGGCGGGCCGGCACGUUUACUUUGAACAAAUUAGAGUGCUUAAAGCAGGCUAAAAUUUCGCCUGAAUACUGUGUGCAUGGAAUAAUGGAAUAGGACCUCGGUUCUAUUUUGUUGGUUUUCGGAACCCCGAGGUAAUGAUUAAUAGGAACGGAUGGGGGCAUUCGUAUUGCGACGUUAGAGGUGAAAUUCUUGGAUCGUCGCAAGACGGACAGAAGCGAAAGCAUUUGCCAAAAACGCUUUCAUUGAUCAAGAACGAAAGUUAGAGGUUCGAAGGCGAUCAGAUACCGCCCUAGUUCUAACCAUAAACGAUGCCAGCUAGCGAUCCGCCGACGUUCCUCCGAUGACACGGCGGGCAGCUUCCGGGAAACCAAAGCUUUUGGGUUCCGGGGGAAGUAUGGUUGCAAAGCUGAAACUUAAAGGAAUUGACGGAAGGGCACCACCAGGAGUGGAGCCUGCGGCUUAAUUUGACUCAACACGGGAAACCUCACCAGGCCCGGACACCGGAAGGAUUGACAGAUUGAUAGCUCUUUCUUGAUUCGGUGGGUGGUGGUGCAUGGCCGUUCUUAGUUGGUGGAGCGAUUUGUCUGGUUAAUUCCGAUAACGAACGAGACUCUACCCUGUUAAAUAGGCGUUUUUCCGACAUCUCGAAGGCCCGCCGUCCGUCGUCUUAUCCGGUCCGCCGGGUGGUCGCGGUCCGGCGCGGUUUUUACUGUCGGCGUACAAUCAAUUCUUCUUAGAGGGACAGGUGGCUUCUAGCCGCACGAGAUUGAGCAAUAACAGGUCUGUGAUGCCCUUAGAUGUUCUGGGCCGCACGCGCGCUACACUGAAGGAAUCAGCGUGUCCUCCCUGACCGAGAGGUCCGGGAAACCCGUUGAAUCUCCUUCGUGCUAGGGAUUGGGGCUUGCAAUUAUUCCCCAUGAACGAGGAAUUCCCAGUAAACGCGAGUCAUAAGCUCGCGUUGAUUACGUCCCUGCCCUUUGUACACACCGCCCGUCGCUACUACCGAUUGAACGAUUUAGUGAGGUCUUCGGACCGGCACGCGGUGGCGUUUCGACGUUGCCGAUGUUGCUGGGAAGAUGACCAAACUUGAUCGUUU